ACAGAACAAAGGGGUUAAAAUAUGAUGAAUAUCCCCAUACCACGACAUGAGAUCUUUAAAAAGUCUCUUAAUUAUCAUGGGCUUUUACUUAUUAAUAAUUUUCUGGUUUCUGUUAGAGAGUUAACUAGGGGCAGUCUACUGCGGCUGGAGAGAAGCGGUGCGCACUUACAAGGGCUUCAGACCUAAGGCUUAGCCAAGUGGCUUAAUUGCUCUAAUUUCUUAUCAAUCAUGAUUUUUUUAGAAAAAUUUAACUUAGGAUUCAAUUAUUAAAGAUAAAUGACCUAUGACUCUCUUAUGGUAGCCAAAUGCCUCGUCAUCUAAUUAGUGACGCGCAUGAAUGGAUUAACGAGAUUCCUACUGUCCCUAUCUACUAUAUAGCGAAAACCACAGCCAAGGGAAC
rnacentral:ncRNA from 1 species